GAUGAACGCUAGCGGGAGGCCUAACACAUGCAAGCCGAGCGGUAUUGUUUCUUCGGAAAUGAGAGAGCGGCGUACGGGUGCGUAACACGUGUGCAACCUGCCUUUAUCUGGGGGAUAGCCUUUCGAAAGGAAGAUUAAUACUCCAUAAUAUAUUGAACGGCAUCGUUUAAUAUUGAAAGCUCCGGCGGAUAGAGAUGGGCACGCGCAAGAUUAGCUAGUUGGUGAGGUAACGGCUCACCAAGGCGAUGAUCUUUAGGGGGCCUGAGAGGGUGAUCCCCCAAACGGUUACUGAGACACGGACCAGACUCCUACGGGAGGCAGCAGUGAGGAAUAUUGGUCAAUGGGUGCAAGCCUGAACCAGCCAUCCCGCGUGAAGGACGACUGCCCUAUGGGUUGUAAACUUCUUUUGUAUAGGGAUAAACCUACCCUCGUGAGGGUAGCUGAAGGUACUAUACGAAUAAGCACCGGCUAACUCCGUGCCAGCAGCCGCCGUAA
rnacentral:rRNA from 1 species